AUGACGUGGAUGACGCCUUCGCAACGCCGAUCACCACGCCCUCUUCUCCACAUAACGGCCUCCUCCUUGCACGGCCGGCCUCCAUCUCACAUGGAGUCCGCCGCGCCAUCGUCGUCGCCGAAUCGACGAGGCUCUGAUGCCAAUUGUUGGCGCCGCCUCACCUCGCAGCGCCACUUCUUCUUCUACCUUGAGCUGCCUCACUCAACUCUCCAUCUCUCUCAAGCUACUCUUCUCCUCGGUGGCUUCCCACAAGAACACUCACACACACACAACGCACGCAUAUACCAAGGAAGAGGAACCGCUUUGCCAGAGACACUCCCUUGGUGA
rnacentral:rRNA from 1 species